AUGGGGAAGUCCAAACCAGCAGGUUUCAACGGCAAGAGUGAAAUUUGCAUCAGCAAGAGUUCCUCUGUCCACAGAUUACUUAGGUUAUUUCUUAGGAGCCUUAUAAGAGAUGCUUGUAAGGUAGGAAAGAAGGUAAGGACAUCAAUAUCUAACCCACACAACAACAUUGCAAGGGCAACUUGUCCCACUACCAAAUAUUUUGUGCUGUGGGAAUUUAAUUUUAGCUUAUGUCCGUUUCAUGGAAACUGUAACCUAGAUACAGAGCCACCAAACUGAUAAACAUAAAUAAAUAUUUGGCAUGUUAUGAGCA
rnacentral:lncRNA from 1 species